UGUCCUUCACUGGUGCCGGCUGGUUUCGGGACUGAGCGUUUUGCUGCCAUCCCAGGAUGAUGACUGUGACUGGGUUAGAGGGAGGCGCCGCAGAUCAAUCAGCAGCAAAUAGGGUUCAUCGGAGAAAACCAGCGUCUUCAGAAAGAAGAAAACAGAGCACCGAGUGACUAGAGCAUUCUCACUGGGCCAGCUCCAGGCCCAGAUAAACAACAAAACCAGCCCCGGCUGACCUCAGGACCAGCUGCACUGAAUAAUGACCCUGUGCCCUGGUGCCGGCCAAUCCAUCAGAGGAGACCACAACCCUGAAAGGACACACCUGGAAAACUGCUCAAUAUUCUCUUAAGAUCUUUCCCUGGGACCGGCCCUAAAAUCUCGGCCCUUAAAACACUUAGGAUGGGGGACCCAGUGCACUCUCCCUCCUGGGAGCACACCCGUGCCUUUCUCAGUCCCCUCCCCUCUCCCCCCUCCCCAGGCAGGUUACCAUUAGCUUCCCCACUCCCAAGCUCCAAGGGGCCUUCCUUUACCUCCAUAACUUGUUUCCU